UGCGUAGGUGGCUGGAAAAGUUUGAUGUGAAAGCUCAGGGCUUAACCCUGAAAUGGCAUUGAAUACUGUCGAGCUGGAGGUUUGGAGGGGGGACGUGGAAUUCUUGGUGUAGCAGUGAAAUGCGUAGAUAUCAAGAGGAACACCAGUGGCGAAGGCGAGUCCCUGGACAACACCUGACACUGAGGCACGAAAGCUAGGGAGGCAAACA
rnacentral:rRNA from 1 species